rnacentral:rRNA from 1 species
GAUGAACGCUGGCGGCGUGCCUAAUACAUGCAAGUCGAGCGAACAGACGAGGAGCUUGCUCCUCUGACGUUAGCGGCGGACGGGUGAGUAACACGUGGAUAACCUACCUAUAAGACUGGGAUAACUUCGGGAAACCGGAGCUAAUACCGGAUAAUAUAUUGAACCGCAUGGUUCAAUAGUGAAAGACGGUUUUGCUGUCACUUAUAGAUGGAUCCGCGCCGCAUUAGCUAGUUGGUAAGGUAACGGCUUACCAAGGCAACGAUGCGUAGCCGACCUGAGAGGGUGAUCGGCCACACUGGAACUGAGACACGGUCCAGACUCCUACGGGAGGCAGCAGUAGGGAAUCUUCCGCAAUGGGCGAAAGCUUGACGGAGCAACGCCGCGUGAGUGAUGAAGGUCUUCGGAUCGUAAAACUCUGUUAUUAGGGAAGAACAAAUGUGUAAGUAACUAUGCAGGUCUUGACGGUACCUAAUCAGAAAGCCACGGCUAACUACGUG